rnacentral:tRNA from 1 species
UCCCUGGUGGCUCAGAUGGUAAAGCAUCUGUCUGCAAUGCAGGAGACCUGAGUUCAAUCCCUGGGUUGGGAA